rnacentral:rRNA from 1 species
GGGCACUUUAAAGAGACUGCCGGUGUUAAGCCGGAGGAAGGUGGGGAUGACGUCAAGUCCUCAUGGCCUUUAUGCCCAGGGCUACACACGUGCUACAAUGGGUGGUACAAAGAGAUGCCAACUCGCGAGAGCGCGCCAAUCUCAGAAAGCCAUCCUCAGUUCGGAUUGGAGUCUGCAACUCGACUCCAUGAAGUUGGAAUCGCUAGUAAUCGCGGAUCAGCAUGCCGCGGUGAAUACGUUCCCGGGCCUU